rnacentral:rRNA from 1 species
UUUUUCGAUGACCGCUGGUGGCUGUUUUAACACAUGCAAGUCGAGCGGAAACGAUGGGAGCUUGCUCCCAGGCGUCGAGCGGCGGACGGGUGAGUAACGCGUAGGAAUCUGCCCAGUAGAGGGGGAUAGCCCGGGGAAACCCGGAUUAAUACCGCAUACGCCCUACGGGGGAAAGGCCGGGAUCUUCGGACCGGUCACUAUUGGAGGAGCCUGCGUGAGAUUAGCUUGUUGGUGGGGUAAUGGCCUACCAAGGCGACGAUCUCUAGCUGGUCUGAGAGGAUGAUCAGCCACACCGGAACUGAGACACGGUCCGGACUCCUACGGGAGGCAGCAGUGGGGAAUAUUGGACAAUGGGCGCAAGCCUGAUCCAGCCAUGCCGCGUGUGUGAAGAAGGCCUUCGGGUUGUAAAGCACUUUAAGCAGUGAGGAAGGCCAUAAGGUUAAUAGCCUUGUGGAUUGACGUUAACUGCAGAAUAAGCACCGGCUAACUCCGUGCCAGCAGCCGCGGUAAUACGGAGGGUGCAAGCGUUAAUCGGAAUUACUGGGCGUAAAGCGCGCGUAGGUGGUUUGUUAAGUCAGAUGUGAAAGCCCAGGGCUCAACCUUGGAACUGCAUCUGAUACUGGCAGGCUAGAGUAUGGUAGAGGGAGGUUAGAAUU